UCCCAGGAGAUUUUAUCAGAGUGAGGACCACCGUUCAUCUCUUGGGUCUGUUUACUUCUGCUCUUGCAGCCAGAGUUCCUGUCAAUUCAAGAGACUUGCAGCAUGUCAAUACCUUUCUGGGCAAAAGAUAUAACUUUCCACCAGAGAAAUGACUCUCAAAUAUUUUCAUGAGAAACUUUCCCCCAGAUUCAUUGGUCCCUUUGACAUAACCUCUGUCCUGAGCCACAUCUAUGUUCGCCUCAAGCGUCCUGAGAGUCUAUGGAUCCACCCAGUAUUUCAUAUUUCUUUGAACAAAUCUAUGGUAUGAAGUCCUUUGUGCCCUCCUUUCAGAUCCCCCUCCACCCGCUCGAGAUAUUGGUGAGUUCCCUGCUUUCUCAAUCAGAUGGUUAAUGGAUGUCCAGUGCCGUGGGAGGGGCAUCCAGUACCGAUUCGACUAGAAGGGUUACGAUCCUGAGGAGCUGUUCUGGGUUUCUCACUCCCUCAUCUUGGAUCCCCAGUUGAUCCGUGAUUUUGAGGUUUCUUGUUUGUCAUGCUUGUCUGGGCCACCAGGUGGCAGCCUUUGAUGAGGGGGUAAUAUCAGGAUUUGGGUGUGUGUGACAAUCUUUCAUAUAGUUAGAUCUCUGCUAGUGAGCAGCCCUGUUCAUAGGGCGGCCACUGAUGAUAUAAGGACCUGCAACACAACCACUAGCUGGAUGAUUAUCUGUCACUGUUGUUUCAAACCUGUCAGAAUUUAUUUGUGCCUCUCCUAGUGUUCUUUUGAGCAACUUAGCGUUUUUGUGAAGAUCAAGUUAAGAUUCAUCUCCAGCCAUACAUACUUUUGCUCUCUCAUCUCAGAACAUGUUCAGCCACAUGCAUGCUCUCAAGCAAGUACCUGUUUGGAACAAACCUGAUCCAUGUUGUUUUCUGCAGCUCUAGUCCCACCUGCCUGCUUGCUCUCCUCUGGUCAGUUCCUGAACCUCAAAGACUCAUCUCAAGUCCAUCAAGCUCCUUCACCCAGAUCCCUCUCACUGCGCUUUCUACCUGUAAUUCUAAGGAACUAUAAAUCCUCAACCUGUCCCAGAAAGGAAUGCCUUCAUUCAUUAACUUCUGUUUACAUAUUGCAGACUGGUGGAUAGAUAGCACUGGCACAGAGAAGGAAACCAUGGAAACGAAAAGCUGAU